rnacentral:lncRNA from 1 species
UGUGAUUCGCUGUCCAGCAUUACCUUUAUGCAGAAGAUGAAGCAGCAGAGGAAUUGGGAAAAGUACAUCUUCACAUUCAGCUGGAAAUGUGGAAAGGCAGAAAACAAGUCAGCAAGCUACUUUGUUUUCUUCAAAAGGGGAAAAAAGUCCCAUAAAGAAGAAAGCUUUGCUUGGUUUCCAGGAUUGCCCACCCAGGAGAACUAAAAGGGCAGUGAAAAUAGAAGUAUCCUCACCAACAGAAGAGAAAAGACUAAAGGUAGCAUCUCUGGUCUGUGUUCAUGUACAGACUAGGACCUGGAGGGGACUGUUUGGUUUUGAUUUUUAAGGAAACUGUAAGGCACCGCAGUUAGAAUCUCAUAUUUGAAGUGCUUGUCAAGAACAUAGUCCUCCUUAAGGGUAAUAUUAAUACUUCAUUUGAAAGUCCUUACCUGUGUUAUGAACAAUGUUUUAGAGGAUGACAACAAUGGUUUAACACAAUUAAUUUAUUUUGUAAUUUUUGUGAGUUUAUUAGUUUUUGCUUCUUUCAGUCUGCUAAUAAAAAUAUGUACGUUUUUAUUUUACUUGUAAACAAUUACAUGUUCCUUGUUUG